GAGGGACCCCAAAGCCAGGUCUGGAAAAGGGGGGUGGGUUGGGUGGUGGGGGUGCAGCCCCCAAAGAAAUGGGGGUCGAAAUGGAGGAAACCCCACUGAGAUGCUCAAAUGUAAAACCGCUGAAGAAUAAAGGGACAAAUGUACACAUCUGUCUAAAUGAAAAAAAUGAAAAUCCUGGCCGCAAAAACACAUACAUUAACGUCUAAAGACCUGCAGGGAAGACAAGACUUUUCCGCCUGGGACACAUGAAAGACAUCGAGCUAAUUUCCUUAAUAAAUGAAGAGCUCUUGGAAACCAACGAGAUAAAGACCAAACCAAGACAGAAAAAUGGGCAAAAGGGAUAAAACUGGCAAUUCGCAAGAAAAUCCAAACGGCUGGCCGACCUGCGAAGGAAACAUCACGACCUGUUUGCAUAAAGAAAUGCAAACCUGAAACACCGGGCACGUGCGGUUUAGGGGAGCGGGCAGUCUCACACACUACUGAGUUGUUUCCCAGCAGCCGUCAAUACAGACCUUCCACUGCGCUCCUUUUAUGUCAGGAGAGUCCAAAUCCAGUACCUGUUUGCCACAAUGAGCCUGGGACCUCAACAUGCAUGGAGUGCUUCCGGACCUCAUUACCCAAGAGCAGUCAGAUUUUUAAUUUCCUCUGCCUUUUUCAAGAUCAUUAGUUCAGAAGGUUUAUGUUUUCAAUUCCACAUAUCCUUGCAUUUUUCUUUCAAGUUUUGACCCAUAUGGAUAUCUUAAAUAUUCCUAUUAUUGCAAGUUUAUAUUAAAAGGAGGUUAAAUUGUGAACUCACAAACUCAUAGCAUCAUAGCACCAUCUCAAUCAAAAGUAUUAUCUUCUGUGAACUACAACAGUUUUCACUUCUUUCGCAAGUGUGGAGUGACGUUUGCCUGAGGCUGUAUGACCUGUGAUAUCAUGACAAAUUGAAGGCCAAAGCAGAUGCGAAUCCAGCUGUUUUCUAUUAAGUCAAAUGCCAAGGAGAUUUACAAAGAUGUAAAAUAAUGCGCCUCUUCUCAAUAACCUUUGGUUUUGAAAAUUGUUAUUUUUCAUAAAAAAUGUUGCUUCCAUUAACCUGUAAUAGGUUUACUACCAUUAUUUUAAAUAAAAUACACAUUUCAAAUGGCUUAAUUUUUUCUUAAGAUAUAAUUGAUAAGUAAAAAUUGUAUAUAUAGUGUACAACAUGGUGUUUCAAUAUACAUAUACAUUGUAAAAGGAUAUCAAGCUAAUUAACAUAUCUAUCACCUCACUAUUUUUGUGUGUGAAGAACACUUAAGAUCUACUCUGUUAGCAAUUUUCAAGUAUAAACUAUAGUCACCAUACUGUGCAACAGAUCACCAGGACUUUUUAAUCCCAUCUAACCGAAAUUUUGCACCCUUUGGCCAACAUCAGCUCAUCUCCUCUGACCCCUGACAACCACCAUUCUACUCUCUACUUGUAUGAGUUCAACUUUUUUAGAUUCCAAAUAUAAAUGAGAUCAUGCAGUGUUUGUCUUACCGUAAUGUCCUCCAGGUUUAUCCAUGUUGUCAUAAGUGACAGCAUUUCCUUCUUUUUAAAGGCUGGAAAAGUAUGCCAUUGUACAUAUAUUCAUUUUAUUUAUCCAUUCAUCAAUCCAUGGACAAUUAGGUUGAUUCCACAUCUUGGCUAAUGUGAAUAAUGCUGCAAUGAACAUAGAAGUGUAUACUGAUUUUGUUUAGAUAUGUAGCCAGAAGUGAGAUUGCUGGGUCAUACGGUAGUUUUACUUUUUUUAAAUGAAUUUCCAUACUGUUUUCCAUAAUGGCUAUAUUAAUUUACGUUCCCACCAACAAUGUACACAGGUUCCCUUUCUCCAUAUCUUUGCCAACACUUGAAGCUUUUUAGUUUGAUUCAAUCCCUUUUGUCUAUUUUUGCUUUUUCUGCCUGUGCUUUUAAAGUCUUAUCCAAAAAUCAUUGGUCAGACCAAUGACAAGAAGUUUCUUCCGUUACGUUUUCUCCCAUUAGUUUCACAGUUUCAGCUCUUAAGUCUUUAAUCCAUUUUGAGUUGAUUUUGUAAUAUGGUGUGUCUAAUUUCAUUCCUUCAUAUAUGGAUAUCUAGUUUUCCCCACCCACUUAUUUAAAAAAAAGUCCUUUCCCUGUUGUGUGUUCUUGACACUUUUGUCAAAGAUUGACUGACUAUAAAUUACGGGAUCUAUUUCUGGGCUAUUUUGUUCUAUUGGUCUCUAUGUCUGGUUUUAUGCCAGUAUCAUGCUGUUUUUAUUACUGUAGCUUUAUACUCAAUUUUGAAAUCAGGUAGUGUGAUGCCUUUCCAGCUUUGUUCUUUUUGCUGAAAGUUUGGUUAUUUGGGGUAUUCUGUGGUUUCUUAUGAGUUUUAGGAGUAUUUUUCUAUUUCUGUGAAAAAUGACACUGGAAUUUUUUUAUGGAAAUUGCGCUGAAUCUACACAUCACUUUGGGUAGUAUGGAGAUUUUAACAAUAGUUUCUAAUCCAUGAACACCAGAUAUUUUUCUAUUUGUGUCUUCAACUUCUUUCAUCAAAGUCUUAUAGUUUUCAGUGAACAG
rnacentral:lncRNA from 1 species